GCCUUAGCGAGGCCAUGGGGGAAAAAGUCUAACUGGCGGAACUCCUGGGAACUGGGGCGAUGGGCUCUUAGUAUCGGAGGAUUGGAGCCAUCUGAUUUUUACCUGAAAUUCCUUAGUCUCUCCUGUGUUGGGGAAAUGGUCACCUUGCCUUCAGGGACCUGGGCUUUCAGCUGUCCAUACCUGGCCCUGGUUGAUGGCGGCAUGCUGGGCAGUGCACGUGAAGACGCACAUGAGACCGGGACUUGCUGUGUUGCCCAGGCUGGUCUUGAACUCCUGGUCUUAAGCAAUCAUACUGCUUUGGCCACCCAAAGCACUGGGAUUACAGGCGUGAACCACCACACCCAGCUCUUAAAACCACAGUAUUUCUAGCACCCUGGGAUCCCUACAUUUCACCUGCCCUGGGCCCAUACAUCCUCUAAGUCUGCUCCGACCGUCCUUAACUCUGCCCUCCUAGCCCCGCAGCAGUUCCCGAGACCUUGUGCCUCCUUCCCCGACGCCGCCUGCUCACCGGUGCCCUCGGGCAGGCUCAGGAUGUCCUCGCCCUGCACCCAGCGGUAGCACGGGAAGGCCACCUCCGCGCAGGCUCCAGGGCCCUGCACCGUGAUGCGGUCGCAGAACCACGCGUCGUCCACCAGCCAG
rnacentral:lncRNA from 1 species